GGGGGGAAAGCAACUUUGAGCUUCGGUGGAUUUGGCUGGACGUCGAGCGGCGGACGGGUGAGUAACGGCUGGGAACCUGCCCUGACGAGGGGGAUAACCGUUGGAAUUGAUGGAAAAUGUUGCAUAGGGUUUAAGUUCCCCGCCAGCCGGAGCCAAAGGCGCCUUCUAAAUGUAAGCUAUCGGGUUGGGAUGGGCCCAGUUAGGAUUAGCUAGUUGGUAAGGUAAUGGCUUACCAAGGGGACGAUCCUUAGCUGGUUUGAGAGGAUGAUCAGCCACACUGGGACUGAGACACGGCCCAGAUUCUUACGGGAGGCAGCAGUGGGGAAUAUUGCACAAUGGGGGAGACCCUGAUGCAGCCAUGCCGCGUGUGUGAAGAAGGCCUUCGGGUUGUAAAGCACUUUCAGCAGUGAGGAAGGUGGUGUACUUAAUACGUGCAUUGCUUGACGUUAGCUGCAGAAGAAGCACCGGCUAACUCCGUGCCAGCAGCCGCGGUAAUACGGAGGGUGCGAGCGUUAAUCGGAAUUACUGGGCGUAAAGCGCAUGCAGGCGGUUUGUUAAGUCAGAUGUGAAAGCCCGGGGCUCAACCUCGGAACCGCAUUUGAAACUGGCAGGCUAGAGUCUUGUAGAGGGGGGUAGAAUUUCAGGUGUAGCGGUGAAAUGCGUAGAGAUCUGAAGGAAUACCAGUGGCGAAGGCGGCCCCCUGGACAAAGACUGACGCUCAGAUGCGAAAGCGUGGGUAGCAAACAGGAUUAGAUACCCUGGUAGUCCACGCCGUAAACGCUGUCUACUUGGAGGUUGAGGUUUAAGACUUUGGCUUUCGGCGCUAACGCAUUAAGUAGACCGCCUGGGGAGUACGGCCGCAAGGUUAAAACUCAAAUGAAUUGACGGGGGCCCGCACAAGCGGUGGAGCAUGUGGUUUAAUUCGAUGCAACGCGAAGAACCUUACCUACUCUUGACAUCCAGCGAAUCCUUUAGAGAUAGAGGAGUGCCUUCGGGAACGCUGAGACAGGUGCUGCAUGGCUGUCGUCAGCUCGUGUUGUGAAAUGUUGGGUUAAGUCCCGCAACGAGCGCAACCCUUAUCCUUGUUUGCCAGCACAUAAUGGUGGGAACUCCAGGGAGACUGCCGGUGAUAAACCGGAGGAAGGUGGGGACGACGUCAAGUCAUCAUGGCCCUUACGAGUAGGGCUACACACGUGCUACAAUGGCAGAUACAGAGGGCAGCGAAGCUGCGAAGUGGAGCGAAUCCCUUAAAGUCUGUCGUAGUCCGGAUUGGAGUCUGCAACUCGACUCCCAUGAAGUCGGAAUCGCUAGUAAUCGUGAUCAGGAUGCCC
rnacentral:rRNA from 1 species